GGACUGAGAUACGGCCCAGACUCCUACGGGAGGCAGCAGUGGGGAAUAUUGCACAAUGGGCGCAAGCCUGAUGCAGCGACGCCGCGUGCGGGAUGACGGCCUUCGGGUUGUAAACCGCUUUUGACUGGGAGCAAGCCCUUCGGGGUGAGUGUACCUUUCGAAUAAGCACCGGCUAACUACGUGCAGCAGCCGCGGUAAUACGUAGGGUGCAAGCGUUAUCCGGAAUCAUUGGGCGUAAAGGGCUCGUAGGCGGUUCGUCGCGUCCGGUGUGAAAGUCCAUCGCUUAACGGUGGAUCCGCGCCGGGUACGGGCGGGCUUGAGUGCGGUAGGGGAGACUGGAAUUCCGGGUGUAACGGUGGAAUGUGUAGAUAUCGGGAAGAACACCAAUGGCGAAGGCAGGUCUCUGGGCCGUCACUGACGCUGAGGAGCGAAAGCGUGGGGAGCGAACAGGAUUAGAUACCCUGGUAGUCCACGCCGUAAACGGUGGAUGCUGGAUGUGUGGACCAUUCCACGGUCUCCGUGUCGGAGCCAACGCGUUAAGCAUCCCGCCUGGGGAGUACGGCCGCAAGGCUAAAACUCAAAGAAAUUGACGGGGGCCCGCACAAGCGGCGGAGCAUGCGGAUUAAUUCGAUGCAACGCGAAGAACCUUACCUGGGCUUGACAUGUUCCCGACAGCCCCAGAGAUGGGGCCUCCCUUCGGGGCGGGUUCACAGGUGGUGCAUGGUCGUCGUCAGCUCGUGUCGUGAGAUGUUGGGUUAAGUCCCACAACGAGCGCAACCCUCGCCCUGUGUUGCCAGCACGUCGUGGUGGGAACUCACGGGGGACCGCCGGGGUCAACUCGGAGGAAGGUGGGGAUGACGUCAGAUCAUCAUGCCCCUUACGUCCAGGGCUUCACGCAUGCUACAAUGGCCGGUACAACGGGAUGCGACCUCGUGAGGGGGAGCGGAUCCCUUAAAACCGGUCUCAGUUCGGAUUGGAGUCUGCAACCCGACUCCAUGAAGGCGGAGUCGCUAGUAAUCGCGGAUCAGCAACGCCGCGGUGAAUGCGUUCCCGGGCCUUGUACACACCGCCCGUCAAGUCAUGAAAGUGGGUAGCACCCGAAGCCGGUGGCCCAACCUUUUUGGGGGGAGCCGUCUAAGGUGAGACUCGUGAUUGGGACUAAGUCGUAACAAGGUAGCCGUACCGGAAGGUGCGGCUG
rnacentral:rRNA from 1 species